CCUACGGGAGGCAGCAGUGAGGAAUAUUGGUCAAUGGUCGCAAGUCUGAACCAGCCAAGCCGCGUGCAGGAAGACGGUUCUAUGAGUUGUAAACUUCUUUUGUACGGGGGUAAACGCAGAUACGCGUAUCUGGCUGAGAGUAUCGUACGAAUAAGGAUCGGCUAACUCCGUGCCAGCAGCCGCGGUAAUACGGAGGAUUCGAGCGUUAUCCGGAUUUAUUGGGUUUAAAGGGUGCGCAGGCGGUCGGUUAAGUUAGAGGUGAAAUCCCGGGGCUCAACUUCGGCAUUGCCUUUGAUACGGGCCGUCUAGAGAGUGGGUGCGGUAGGCGGAAUGUAUGGUGUAGCGGUGAAAUGCUUAGAGAUCAUGCAGAACACCGAUUGCGAAGGCAGCUUACCAGGCUACUUCUGACGUUGAGGCACGAAAGCGUGGGGAGCGAACAGGAUUAGAUACCCCUGUAGUC
rnacentral:rRNA from 1 species